rnacentral:snRNA from 1 species
AUACUUACUUGGUGCUGGGAGUGUCAGCGAUCACGAAUGCUGGCUCCCUGAGGCGAGGCCUUCCAUUGCACUGCGGUCGGCUGAGCCUUACCACAAUCCCAAACGGGGGUUGGUGGAGCAUGCAAUUUUUGGUACUGGGGGACAGGCGUUCGCGCCGUCCCCCC